rnacentral:rRNA from 1 species
GACGAACUGCCCAAACGUUGUUCGGAAUCACUGGGCUUAAAGGGUGCGUAGGCGGCUUGUCAAGUCAGGGGUGAAAUCCGGCAGCUUAACUGUCGAAGUGCCUUUGAUACUGAUGAGCUCGAGGGAGGUAGGGGUCCGUGGAACUUCUGGUGGAGCGGUGAAAUGCGUUGAUAUCAGAAGGAACGCCGGUGGCGAAAGCGACGGACUGGAUCUCUUCUGACGCUGAGGCACGAAAGCUAGGGGAGCAAACGGG